AGUGAACGCUGGCGGUAGGCCUAACACAUGCAAGUCGAACGGCAGCACAGUAAGAGCUUGCUCUUACGGGUGGCGAGUGGCGGACGGGUGAGGAAUACAUCGGAAUCUACUUUUUCGUGGGGGAUAACGUAGGGAAACUUACGCUAAUACCGCAUACGACCUACGGGUGAAAGCAGGGGAUCUUCGGACCUUGCGCGAUUGAAUGAGCCGAUGUCGGAUUAGCUGGUUGGCGGGGUAAAGGCCCACCAAGGCGACGAUCCGUAGCUGGUCUGAGAGGAUGAUCAGCCACACUGGACCUGAGACACGGUCCAGACUCCUACGGGAGGCAGCAGUGGGGAAUAUUGGACAAUGGGCGCAAGCCUGAUCCAGCCAUACCGCGUGGGUGAAGAAGGCCUUCGGGUUGUAAAGCCCUUUUGUUGGGAAAGAAAAGCAGCAGGUUAAUACCCCGCUGUCCUGACGGUACCCAAAGAAUAAGCACCGGCUAACUUCGUG
rnacentral:rRNA from 1 species